rnacentral:tRNA from 1 species
GGCUCCAUAGUUCAACGGAUAGAACGGGGGUUUCCUAAACUUCAGAUCUGGGUUCGAUUCCCGGUGGAGCCA